AUUGAACGCUGGCGGCAGGCCUAACACAUGCAAGUCGAACGAGUGUCGGACGGGUGAGUAAUGUUUGGGAAACUGCCUGAUGGAGGGGGAUAACUACUGGAAACGGUAGCUAAUACCGCAUACCAUCGGAUGUGCCCAGGUGGGAUUAGCUAGUUGGUGGGGUAAAGGCUCACCAAGGCGACGAUCCCUAGCUGGUCUGAGAGGAUGACCAGCCACACUGGAACUGAGACACGGCCCAGACUCCUACGGGAGGCAGCAGUGGGGAAUAUUGCACAAUGGGCGAAAGCCUGAUGCAGCCAUGCCGCGUGUAUGAAGAAGGCCUUAGGGUUGUAAAGUACUUUCAGCGGGGAGGCGUUACCCACAGAAGAAGCACCGGCUAACUCCGUGCCAGCAGCCGCGGUAAUUC
rnacentral:rRNA from 1 species